rnacentral:rRNA from 1 species
AUGGGAAAAGAGGACUCGGAUGCAUAUAUUGAGUGGGAAGAGAAGUGUGAUCAAAUCUUUCGCAUCCAUGGUUUUUCUGAAGCCAAGAGAGUUGAUCUUGCUGUUAUGGAGUUCUCUGGUUAUGCUCUUACAUGGUGGAAUCAGCUGCAAGACGAUCGGUUGAUGUCGGGCAAUAAUCAUAUCCGCAGCUGGACUUUUAUGAAGGAAGUCAUGAGGCGCCGUUUUGUUCCAUCAUACUAUGAGAGGCAUUUGUACAAGCGGUUGCAGGGGCUCACUCAAGGUUCUGAUACGUCCAUUUUGCAUCAUGCUUUUAUAUCGAUAUUUAUUGCAUUAUGGGCUGUUAUUACACAUUAUGUCACAAUACUUAUGCCUAUUCUCUCUUAUUUUACAAGGUUUGCAUAA